rnacentral:miRNA from 1 species
AGAACAGCCACGGUUGAAAGUUAU